rnacentral:misc_RNA from 1 species
GAUGAAGAACGUAGCGAAAUGCGAUAAGUAAUGUGAAUUGCAGAAUUCAGUGAAUCAUCGAAUCUUUGAACGCACAUUGCGCCCCCUGGUAUUCCGGGGGGCAUGCCUGUCCGAGCGUCAUUACAACCCUCAAGCUCAGCUUGGUGUUGGGGCCUGCUGCACUGGCAGCCCUUAAAAUCAGUGGCGGCGCCAUCUGGCUCUAAGCGUAGUAAUUCUUCUCGCUAUGGAGUCCUGGUGGAUGCUUGCCAUCAACCCCCAAUUUUUCUAUGGUUGACCUCGGAUCAGGUAGGGAUACCCGCUGAACUUAAGCAUAUCAAUAAGCGGAGGA